UCGGGCAGGCCGCUGGGUAAGGCCCGCCCACUCAAAAUGGCGGCGGGGCCUGUUUUAGUGGCAGAGGUGGGCUGCCCACCCGCCCAUCAAGGGCAAAUUUCGGCCCCAUGUGUUGAGGUGACUCAUUCUGUUGUGUGGAUAUUUUGUCUGGAUUGUAUUUAAGGGAUUGCUGCAUUUUUGGACGUAUGAUUGUUUGCAUGAGAUAUAUUCGGAUCCUGUUUAGUUUCUUCUGCUGGUUCAGAUGGACGUUAAAAUUCCCUUGGCAAAAACAAGGAGCUCUUCCCACAUCCUGAGUAACACUGAUCGCCCACCAACACCAUCAAAACAAACUCAUCCCUUCAUUCAUAGUAGAAUUUUACUGUGCAUGAGGUGGUUGCCAUAUUUGCCUACAUAACAUCAGUAACUGAACUUCAAACAAAUCCAAGGCAUGUGAAGCACUGUGGAAUAUUUUUGAGACAUCAUACAGCAUAUAUUAUUGCAAAUCGCUCCUUCUUAGCAAUAUUUGCCUUGUCUUUAAUGGGGCUAAAAUCAGAGGUACACUCAAAACGUGUACAUUCUAUACUUAGAAGCUUUUUUAAAGAUAUUUUAGCACUGUCAUUCUGGACUGGCAUAAGCAAUGGGAUAAAACUCCAUCUACUUUGCCUUGCUCAUAAUAACAGACCUAUAUCCCAAAUGUAUCAAUGAGGUAUUUUCAUUUCUAGUGACAACUCUCCUUUGAGGCAACUCAAAUAUACUUGCCAAUUUAGUUCUAAUUUUGCCUCAUAAGAUUUGCGCUAGCUGCCAGAAUUGAGACUACCUAAACUGGAAGAUAGUAAAGACUCCAAUCCAUUUCUACUAGGGCCAAGACAUGAAAAAACAUUUGCUCCCACUACACUACUUAGUUCCUACAUUUAUAGAAAACUAACAAAUUUAUGUUGAUCAUGAGGAAGGUGCAUGGAAGAGCAGUUGUAAUUAAUUAUUUCUGUUUCAAACAACUUGUGUAGUUUCUCAGCAACAAGCCCAAUGUUCUCCGUCCGCAUGUUAAGCAAGGCAAAGUAAUAUUACACAAGGUGAAUGGAAUGGGAGAGAUGCAAAUAUCCCUUCAGACAUGAUAUAAUUAAAUACAUUUAUCUUUAGCCAACUGGUUGACAUGAUGUGUCAAGUGUAUUAGCAUAGUUGGUGGUGCAUAGUGGUCACUCUGCUUGGCACCUGUUGCUUUCAGCUCUUAUCACUGGCUAGAAGUAUAACUGUUGUAAAAAAAAAAGAGCUGAGUACAUAAGCCUCUCCCACCAGUGCACUGCAAGCCCUAUGUACUGCCUUCUUGUGGCAACAUACAUAAACUAGGUACCUCACCGACCCAGGCUAAACUACAGGCACCUCAGAGGAGUGUCAUGAAGCUACUAAUGUAUACAAUAUAAUUGGAAAAUAUUUUUCUCUUAAAAUUGAGGCUUAGUCUGUGGGUGUGCCUUAAUUGGAUUAAAGCCAGCUAGUCUAGGUACUAGUUUUGAUGUGUAAGCGUGUAUUUGCAUUUUUGAAUAUAGCAUUCAAGAAGUGGAGUGAAAACUGACAAUAUAUCUCGCAGAUACCAAGCAAUAUGUUUAUAUUACUAAUAAAACUGAUACAAUGAAAGGAGUUUUAUUAUUAGAAGAGACUGGUGAUACAAUGAGAACUUACAUUUAAUGGGCGGUGCUAAGUAUAACUCCAGGAGUUUUGUGUGUGCAGGGCAGAGGCAAUGUGAGAUCAAAAGGCAGCUGUAAGCCUCCAACUGUCUCCACAGGAGCCAAAGUGAAAAGGACCUCAUUUUGAAUUUGUAAGGUGAAAAUGCUUUGCCUGGUGUCUGGUUAAGUCUAUGUAUUGCUGUUGCCUUAAUGGAGAUUAGUUUGGGAAUUUGUUAAAAGUUAUGAUAGUAGUAAUUUGAAGCCAUGUGUAUAUAUAUUGUAACCUGUGUAAAUUAAUAAAAUGUUUCAUUUAGUUUAAU